rnacentral:lncRNA from 1 species
AUAAAAAUAAAUCCAGAUAUAAGUCGUUAUGCUUAUAUCUCUUACAAAAUGAUAAAGCCAAACAAUUUUACAAAUUAAAUAUAAACUAUAAAAACAAUAAAACUCAAAUCAACAAUAUCAAUUUUGUUUGACAAAUAACGUUGUUUUGCUGAAAUUGCUUUUCAGGAUGUGAAUAAUAGUUUCUUAGACAUAGGUUCUUCCAAAUAGUCAUAAAAUCUUCAAUUUCAAACUAUACUGAGGUUUUUAUGUGUAGAGUAGUGAUAUCAUUUCCUAUUUUCUUGGUGUGAAUUGUGUCAUUGUGUCCGCUCUUUUAUUUCCCCCCAUUAGCUUUUGACAAAGUAGUAACAUUGCCACUUCAAUCAUAUAAUAAACACAAAUGUAGCCACUCAAAUACAGUGAUAUUUGGUUUUAGGCAUCUAGAUGAUCCAACAUACACCCAAAAUAUUUUUUUUAGGAUCUGAUUAUUGAAUAAUUAAGGAUCUCCAAGAAUAUGCUUGGAAAAACUCAGACAGCCUCAGAACUCAGUAGAGGAAUACUAAAUCAGUUAUAAACAAAAUACAAAAAAAAAAACUUUAAAAAACUACCACCUAUGAGACUAAAUACAUGUCAGUAGACAAUGUCACAAAAAGUAAAACAUAUGAAAUGUAAAAACAAAACAGAAAAUUCUCCAAAGUUAGAGCAUCAAGACAAAAGGGAAAUUUAGGGAAAAAAAUGUAUGUAAGACCAAGCAAACAGAAUUUACAAAAAAUGAAAACUAUGAAAUAGCAGUUACAAUGCAGGUCUUUUAGUGUUUUUUCCUUUGUAGAAAGAAAAAAAGGCAGUGUUCAUUUCAAAGAAUAAUCCUGGUCGGAGGAUGGAGUCAAAUUGAUGGUGGGCUGGCGUUAGGACCGAAUACAGAAUAACUAGAGCUCAAGCAGAAGCAUCCUACUUCCAGCCAGUUCAGAAUCCCAAACAAAUUAAAGUGGGAAGAAAAGGUCAAUUAUGUUCAAGUUUCUUUUUUGGAGAUUUAGUUUUGUUUGGCAGCCAAGUCUUUAUACUUUGAUGUGAAUUGAUGUGUAUCGAAACUUGAGAUGGUUUUCAUUCUUUUGUUUUACAUUCUUAUUCUUAGCAUCAUGAAGCAGAAAGUUCUCCCAAUUCUUGCCAGCAGAGCAGGAGCUACCUUGCAGGAGACAAAGAAGGGCCUGAACUGUGUGAUGGUCCUGCAGAAAGGAACACGCCAAGAGCAGGUAUCAAAAUAAUCCAGGCACAGACGUUGAUCUGCAGUUUUGAUGGUUAAUUAGUGGAUCGGGUAUCAACCAGAAGCGUGUGAUUAUUAUGAUAUUUGAAAGGAAGUCACUUGCUAUUUUCCUCCCCUAUUAUUUAAGCUACAGCACGUGGCUGUAAUGACUGCAAUGUGGAGAGAGCUACAUUUCUAAGCGUAAUAAAUAGGAAUCAGAUGCAAUUAUUCCUGAUGCUUCCCAGAGUUGUGCUGAGAGCAUGUGUUUAGCUGGUGAUGCGCUGCUGAGUGCUUUUUCUCUGGGGCACUAGAGCUUC